CCCUCCGCCUCCAUCCCCGGCUCCGCAGGGCCUCGCCGGUCCGGCCCUUCCCUUCCCGAGAUUCCGAUCCCGGGAAGCAGCGCCGCCGCAGACCCCCGGCCCCUUCCCGCCGCCCGCCAUUUGCUGCCCUCAGGCGUCCGCGCCAUUUCCCCCCCUCCUGACCCCGCUCCCCUCGGGAGAGACCCUCGGCACCCGGGAGCCUCCAAACCUCGGACAGCUCCGGCCCCGGGCGGCGUCGACCAGCCCCCGCUCCCCACUGGCACCUCCAGGCCGUUCCGCUCCCCCCCCUCCCACCGCAUCCCAGGAGCUACAGCUGCUCCCCCUUCCCGGCUUCAGGAAUUUUAACUUACAGACAGGCGUAGUUCCAAGUUCCUCCAUCUGUGUGCCUUUGACCUGAUUGUCCUGUAUGAGAUCCUGGUGCAUCUGUUCCACAGUUACCUGUGCAGGAUCCACCUGUACCUGAAUUACUGGUUUGUUUAGGCUCCUUUCAAGGUAGAAUUGUAGAAAACAUCUUCUGUUUAAGAAUAUUUGCAUCCCACGCCAGAACAACAAGAUACCAUCAUAGUCCGUUGGAGAAGCUCCAAAGACAAUGUGUGCCAUGAAGAAGAGGAAGACAAGGAAGAAAGGGCUCUCAGGAUCCUGACUCAAUUUCUGGAGAGGCAUGCUGGGGGCAGAUUUGGGGAGGAACUGGGGGGCAGAUAGUUCUGGGAUUGGAUGGACAAUACUAUAACAUUGCAGAACCACUGGACACGGUGCGUGUGCAUCUUUUCUGUACUCCCAUGGUCAGAGGGGGCCUUCAUUAAAGACCCGCUCUAUUAUCUUAUCUCUAUUAAAUUUGCCUGGAGUUUUUUGGCUCCCGAUCUUUAGGCAACACCAGCAUAAGCUGGAAUUACUUUCCAGGUAAAGUCAGUAUGUGUGGUAUCAAAGAGAAUAAUAAUAAAAUAAAAAAUAAAAUAUUAUUUUGUAUUUUGAACUUUAGUGAAGCGUGGUCAGAAGUGGGAAGGGCCUAGGUCAGUGCAUCAAGAACCUUGAAAGGAAGCAGAAAGACCAGUAAAAGGCAGCCUUCCUGUAAGAAUCUAAUUAUAAGUAUUAUUAGGCUCCACAUGAGUAAUUCCACAUUUUAAAUGGAGCUACUUAGACAUAAGAAUUUACCUGCAUAUUGUGUUUGAAUGUGAUCUUUAUUUUACUGAAGUAGCUCUUGGAGACACAAGGCCACUCUCCUUGCCUUUCUUGUUCAGUUCCCCCACUCCCUCAAAGGAGGGAGGUAUCUAGCCUGGGACUCUGCUACUUC